GUGGGGGCAGGUUCCUGUAAGUUCUUUCCUCUGUGUGUGGGUGAAGUGAAAACUUUUCUUGCACUUCUCAUCACACUCAUGGGGUGGCCGUUGCCAAGAUUAAAUCACGUGUUUCAAGCUCUGUGACCCAGUGGAACAUAGUGGCCAAGAGAGCAGACAUUUAGCUGCCUGUAACCCCACCUGCCCUCCGGCCUGCAACCAGAGGGAUUUUGCCCAAAAUAGCAAGACUGUUGACACGCUUCUGAAAGCACCAAGGUCCCCGCUAUAAUAGGCUGCUUUCUUUCAUGCACAAGUGGCUCAAGGAGACCAGAAAGCAAAAUCUCCAGUCCGGACGCGAUGUCCCACACAACCCUGAUGACAACAGAGCGAGCUUCUUGGCCUGAGUAAGCCAUGGGCAGCGCCACCUUCCUGCUUACCUGUA